UUAAACUUUCAAGGAGAGUUAUUUCACCUAAAGAAGAGUUUAAGAAACGAAGAGCAAUUAUACUGAAACGCCUUUUUUUUUAUUCUUGAUUCUAAAAUGACAAUUCUUCUAGUUUAUUAAAUUCUUCAAUUCUUGUUGAUUUACAAUCGGAAAUUUUCUACUAUAUGAAGAUGAGCCAAAACAAAGACACCCGGACGUGUCUAAGCUUGUUGAGGCGGAACUUCAGUCGCGUCAGCGAGUAUUGUGAACAAUACCAGGAAAUACUCGAUUUAUAGCUGAAUUGUAGUGAUAAAACACAACAUUCAACUGAAGAACGUCCUGAAGCUAAGAGAGUGAUUCCUUUCAAGGAUUAUGGCAUCCAGAGAAGUGCCAAACGAACUGAUACCGCAAUUGCUGUCAGUCGGUGAUUUUAUUGGAGCAAAUUUUGAUGCGACAGCUAAUAAAACAGAAAUUACUGAAGCCGGAAGAUUAGCUCGUUCGAUUGGCGACCGGUUAUCUAGCCAACCAACAGUCGAGUACCAUCAAGAAGACAGAGCAGAGAGAUCUGGCAUCGUAACAAGAUGGCUCAGUCAAUUCAAGAAUGUCGUCGGGACGACUUUAGACUGGCUGGAACAUUCUGGACAAAUGAAUGCUAAAAAACAAGAACAAGUCCUAAGGGGAUUAUAUAAUUUAACAGUGCUGGCCAACCAAGGGCAUCUCUUUGCUAUCAUGGAAGUGGCCCAUUCCUGUUUGACCACAGAUGAAGAUCCCUUUCCAGGCCAACGUCAUUACAUUGUCCAGUGCCUCGAAGAUGUCAAAGCUCAUCAGGAACAAAUCGGAGUGUUAGUAGAGCAGGCCAGCGAUAUCCUCAAGGAAAUCCUGGAACACGAAGGAGUGGAUUAUUCAAAGGGAAGGAAGUUUGACAACGUUGUUAGAGAAGCACGGGUGCAGAUCGAAUCCUGUAAACGUCGUCUGAAGGGCGCAGAAGAGGCUAUUUUCGCACUCUCUCAAAAAAUGAGUACCGUGAGAUGGGCCUCCCGUAGUUUACACGCAACAGGUUGGAUGUUUUCGGCGUAUAUAUUCUACAAGCGGUAUCAGGAAUCUGGUCAGUCGUCACUAGAUUUGCUCAAACUUUUCGGUUUUGUUGCCGUUUCUGGCUGGAUUUGUAUGUCACUCUUGCCAGGCAGAUCAAGUGUUUACUACGAGUCAUUGACAAAGUUGGAAGCAGAUCAUCGCAUGUUGAAGGAGAAAUUGGAAGAUUUACGUGUUAGCCUAACGAGCGCCAAAGAUCACAGAGAUGGACUCUGAUCGCAUUAUAUAUAUAUGGAGCAGUGAACUGUAAUAAAACUUGAAGCGCUAACUCCUAUAGUUCAUUGAACGGCAAAAAAUUGAAUAAUAAUAGUUCAUUGAAGCCAAAGAUUGAAGAAAAAACCGAGUUUUUGACUCUCUUUCUCGUUCAAAUUCUAUAAAAAUUAGCAAAUGAUUGUAUUUUAGACAUUUCUAGAUAAUUACUCUCCACACGUCUGUCUCAAACGUUCAAAAACGCAGAAAAACUACCUUCAAAUUUGGUUUGAAAGAUAGCGGCCAAGUUAGCGUUCCAGAUUUUAUUACAGUUCAGUGGUAUGGAGUCGUACCUAAAGAACUUUCUGUGCAUGUGUGUCUUGCUGAUUAUUAUUAUUACCAGCGAUGGAAUACCAUGCAGAUUAAAGGUGGGAUAUGAAUUGGUUUGAUAUAUUUUUCAGGCUUCACGCUUGUCAAAUUUUAAAUAGAAGCCAAUAAUUGUUGGGGUGAAAUUGCUAGGAGUAGGAGCCAAUGCGUUAUUCGUUGGACUGAUGAACUUUGAGCGAAUUUAAAAUCUUGACGAGAGUUGGGUUCUUUGAAACAGCGGCCAUGUUGGCGUGAUGAUGUUAUAUUAUGUCAAUAUGAGACGAAGCCCCAAACUCUCACGUUUGCUUCAUGAAAUAAUGUUAAUAAUGUUGAAUAAUCUUAUUAAUUUAAUGUAUUAUAAUAAGUUGAUGGUAUAUAUACUGUAAAAAGCACUUUUGGGCACAAUUUUGCGGUGAUUUCUGUGUAAUCUAGGCCUGCACACUUUACAUUCCAAAAGCUUAGAAAUUACCCCUGCAUGCCAGAGCAUUAUAUCAUGCUAGCAUUAGUCAAAGAAGUCAAAGGACUGCGCACAACCUGUUAAUGCAUAAGCAGCCCAGACUUUGGCUUGCGCGUGUGAUACUCGCGCGCGUGUCGCGCUUACGUUGUUUACUACGUCAAAAUAAGCGCGACACGCGUGGAGGACCAAAACCGCCAUGUUUCACACCAAUCAUGCAUGCUUAGCGCUAGCCCAUUUGGAUAUACAGAAAAGUACUAGAGAUAAGACUAGAACCUUACACAUGCAGGCAAGGUUUACACAGUCAAUCACGAAGCUUUUUUAUGAUACAUUGACAUUAUUAUGAUAUCCUAGCUGACAAAGUUUUGACAACAUCAAGAAGUCAAAAAUGACAAUCAGUAGCCUUCGAUCGAGAUUUCAUUUGCUUAUUGGCGUAACAGGCUUGUUGAUAUUCUGUUUGGGGGUUCUCAUAUUAGCAUCAGGAAUACGAAUAAGAUAUCUUCUAACAACAUUUGACAGAUUCGGGGAUUAUUGGAAGGCGUAUAACACUUGCCAAUAUUGGGCGGGAAUACCGACAAUUCUAACUGGAGGAGCAUUGGUUCUUUCUGUUCUCGUGAAUAGACAUCAGUCCUUGAAAUACAUCAGCUUAUGUUGUGCUGCGAUUACGAUGGUUCUAACACUAGGGAUCAUCAUCGAGGAAUCAGGACAUGUUUGGGACGUACAUUACCUUGUCCAAUACGGUAAAUGCCAUGAUAUAGAUGUUUCAUCCGAUUCUUACAAGGAUUGUUUAAAAUUCAUGGAGGCUGAUCGCUGGUAUUACACCAUGUUAUUUGGUGCAGAUAUUGUUUUGGUGUUGUGUUCAUUGGUGACGCUGAUGUUGUUUAUUGACUGGAUCACAUUUGUUUUACCGAGAACAUCGCUGGAUAAUUACGAAGUGACACGACAUCAUGUUUCUGGAUAUCAAAGUCACGGGCUGAGUCAACUGUCGUCAAAUGAUCAAUAUCAUGCAAUAUCAAUGAAUACUUUUUAGUUUUUAAUGGAAGCUUUGAUGGGUCCAAACCACCAGCUUUAUCCAGUUGUAUGUAUAUAUAUAUAUAUAGAUAGAUAGAUAGAUAGAUAUAUGAGAAAAGCUUUUAUAUAUCUCAGUAAAUAUCUAUAUAUCAUAAUAGUUCGUUGAAGCUAAAGAUUGAAGCAAAAACUGAGUUUUUGACUCUCUUUCUCGUUUUAUAAAAAUUAGCAAAUUAAAUUUUAUAAAAAUUAGCAAAUGAUUGUAUUUUACAUAGUUAUAGACCUUUCUAGAUAAUUACUCUCUAUGCGUCUGUCUCAAACGUUCAAAAACUCAGAAAAACUACCUUCAAAUUUGGCUUGAAAGAUAGCGGCCAAGUUAGCGUUCCAGGUUUUAUUACAGUUCAGUGGCCGGAGUCGUAAGAACUUUCUGUGCAUGUGUAUCUUAGGGCCAGCUGAUUACUAUUAUUACCAGCGAUGAAAAACCAUGCAGAUUAAAGGUGGGAUAUGAAUUUGUUUGAUACAUUUUUUAGGCUUCACGCUUGUCAAAUUUUAAAUAGAAGCUAAUAAUUGUUGAGGGGGAACAGCUAGAAGCCAAUUAUGCGUUAUUCGUUGGACUGAUGAACUUUGAUCGAAUUUAAAAUCUUGACGAGAGUCUUGGGUUCUUUAAGGCGGCCAUGUUGGCGUGAUGAUGUUAUAUUAUGUCAAUAUGAGACGAAGCCCCAAACUCUCACGUUUGCUUCAAGAAAUAAUGUUAACAAUGUUGAUUAAUCUGAUUAAUUUAACGCAUUAUAAUAAGUUGAUGGUAUAUAUACUGUAAAAAGCACUUUUAAAAAAAGGCACAAUUUUGCGGUGAUUUCUGUGUAAUCUAGGCCUGCGCGCUUUACAUUCCAAAGCCUUAGAAAUUACCCCUGCAUGCCUGAGCAUUAUAUCAUGCUAGCACUAGCAUCGGUCAUGGAUAUUAUUAGUUAGUCAUUCAUGCAGGGACUGCGCAUAACCUGUUAAAGCAUAGGCAGCCAAAGUGAACUCAAAUAAGACUGGAACGCUCACUCUGUCGGAAGUUUGAAGCUAAGAUGGCGGACACUGAUGCCUUUCUUGUAAUUUUUCCUUUGAAAUUUCCGCGCCAGACGCCUGGAUCAUACCAACAAGAAAGGCUUCAUGAUCCGCCAUCUUGGCUUCACUCAUUAAUGAGGGAAAGUCAGAGAGUAAGCGUUCCAGUCAUAAUACAAGUUAUUUCAUCCUAAUAUUCAUUAUAUUCGUCCUAAUAUAUACAGGAAAGGUUGUUUUAGGAAAUUACCACUUAUUUUUUUCUUUAA